GUGGGGAAUUUUGGACAAUGGGCGCAAGCCUGAUCCAACAAUGCCGCGUGCAGGAAGAAGGCCUUCGGGUUGUAAACUGCUUUUGUACGGAACGAAACGGUCCUGGUUAAUACCUGGGGCUAAUGACGGUACCGUAAGAAUAAGCACCGGCUAACUACGUGCCAGCAGCCGCGGUAAUACGUAGGGUGCGAGCGUUAAUCGGAAUUACUGGGCGUAAAGCGUGCGCAGGCGGUGCUGUAAGACAGGCGUGAAAUCCCCGGGCUCAACCUGGGAAUUGCGCUUGUGACUGCAGUGCUGGAGUACGGCAGAGGGGGAUGGAAUUCCGCGUGUAGCAGUGAAAUGCGUAGAUAUGCGGAGGAACACCGAUGGCGAAGGCAGUCCCCUGGGCCUGUACUGACGCUCAUGCACGAAAGCGUGGGGAGCAAACAGGAUUAGAAACCCGAGUAGUC
rnacentral:rRNA from 1 species